GUAAAACCCGGUUUAUGCAAAACUGGGUCGCUUUGGAUACGGCUUGAGAUAGGGGGAAAAGAAAAUGAAACGAGCCCUAAAUUAAUCUGUUGUCAUUCGCGAUUUUGUUAACCUUCCUUUGCUUUUCACUAGCUUGGUACCUCUUGAUUCGCCAUCUCAUCGAAUCAGGCAUCCUCAAGCUCCGGAAACGGCUGGACUUUGAAGCCCCGUCUCAUAUUUAUGGUAACAUUGACGUUUCUUAAUUGUUAUUGUAAAACCUUUUCAUCUUUAAAUUCUUUUCUUAGUGUUCAUAUAAUUUCAAGAAGCUAUUUUUGACACAGCAUAGAAUCAAAUAGUUGAUCUGUUGACAGUUGACAUUGUUAUAGCUGCUGCCUGCUGGAUUUUAUGAAUUGGAUGUCAUCUUUUGAAGAUAAUACACUAGAAGUUGGUGACUUGAUUAACUGCAAUGUUUUUGGUUCACUAUGGGAUUGAACAUUUUCUUCUUUUGUUCCUUUAGUAGUCAAAACCCUAUUGCUUUGCAAAAAUUAUUGUGCAGAUGAUGUAAGCUGAGCAGUUCCUAUCGUUUCAUCUUGUUGAAUUUAUUAGUGAUUCGGGCAUUCUACUUUUUGUUCUUAAUCCGGCCAUAAAUCAAGUCAGGUUAGGCCAUAAUUAGAAUAAUAUUCUAAUACAUUGAAGAUUUGUUUUAUUCACAACUAGAUUGGCUUUGUUACAGAUAGCAAGUUUUUGUGUGAAUUUUUAAGUUAAUAAAGAGGGAUGAUUUGUUCUUGAAUUUCUAAGCUUUGAUUAAUUUUUAAUUACUCCUUUCAUUGGUUGAACAGAUUAUGGCAUACUCAGAACCAGCAGGAACAGAAAGGGAGUCAGUCCAGGAAAAUGCUGCUCAUAGGAAACCCAGGAUUCUACUUGCUGCCAGUGGAAGUGUAGCUGCUAUAAAAUUUGGAAAUCUCUGCCAUUGUUUUUCUGAAUGGGCAGAGGUAAAAGCUGUUGGCACAAGGGCUUCUUUACAUUUCAUUGAUAGGGCCUCACUUCCAAAGGAUGUUGUUCUUUACACUGACGAGGAUGAAUGGUCUAGUUGGAAUAAAAUAGGAGAUACUGUUCUCCACAUUGAGCUGCGGCGGUGGGCUGAUAUCAUGGUUAUAGCCCCAUUAUCAGCAAACACACUUGGUAAGGUAAUAAGUACUAUGGGACUUUGAAAGUUUGUCUCUCACCCUUAGGGAAUUUCACUGAAAUAACAAUGUUGACUAAAUUGCAUUUGACCCCAUUAUCCUAGGAGAAAUCCUGUUUUAGUUUCUCUCCUGAGAAAUCCUGUUUUAUCUGUUUGUUAUUUCUGCAAAAUUACAAAGAUUUGAAGCUAUUGUUUCUGAGAUUUUCCUCAAUAGACUUUUACUUGCAAAGUCAUAUGGAUGAAGUUGUUUGGCCUUGUUUGCACAGUCACAUAUGUUGUUCGCAUCAAUAUCGUCAUAUAUUCGAGUUGUUAACAUAUCAACAUAAUGUAAUAAAUGAUUUGGAUUCAAUAUCUCAAGUUAAACAAUUUUGGUACUGUUGCUUUCUACUUAAUAAUUUAUUAAAUUGAAAGAUUGGCAUGUUGGGAUAAACGUUUAGUUAAGUUAAGUUGAAUUGAGUAGAAAGAUUGGCAUGUUCAUGUAUGAUUAAUAUGCUUCUACGUUGUCUCUUAAUUAAUUCAAGUUGGUUUCGUGAACUGACUAGAAUGGGUUGCCGAUAUUUACCAGAGAAUGAAUCAUGGCAGUAACCCUUUUUAGGCCCCUCUGUGUUAAGAUGUUAUGAUAUGAGACAGGGCUUAUGGAUUAUUGUCUAUUUGUAUAUGUCGUACAUACGAACUCAGUUCAUCAGAGUAAUAGAAUCUUUGAGAAUGAUUUUCCCUGUAUGCUUGAUAUACUUUUUUUUUUUUUAACAUAUGCUUUCUAAUUAACCUCUCUCUCUCU
rnacentral:misc_RNA from 1 species